rnacentral:rRNA from 1 species
GCCAUGAAUGUAUACCCUGAAUGUACCAGAUCUCAUCUGGUCUUGGAAGCUAAGUAGAGUCAUGCCUGGUUAGUAUUUGGAUGGGAAGAUGUAGGGCUUUGGGAAGUGAUGAGGCCAUGAUGGUA